UAGUAGUGCAUCGGGUCGCGAUUAUUUACAAUGUUGAUAAACAUUUUAGUUGAAUUAAAAACGCUUUAAGUUUUUAUUUUUGCAAUGUAUUACAUUAAUUUUGCAAUAUCUAAUAAAGCAAAGAUUGUUGAGUUAAAUAUGUGCUCCAUAUUACCAUGAGUGCUUUAAUUUAAUAACCUAUUGUGAUAUGUAAUAUCUUUUAGUGUUCGUGCUAUAUGGGUGUUUUGUGCAUUUUCUAAUAAAAUAUGUGUUUGUUUUGGUGCCUUACAAACAUAAAAACACCUUCCCUUCAGCUUCGUUCCAGUAAAGGAUAAAGCUGAGGUAUAUUUGCAAGAAAGCUGUGAAGAAGAAGAUAUGAUUUUCAUAGAAAGGAAUGGUGGUGUUGUCUUGCUUCGAAACGGACACCAAUAUACAAAAAUAAGAACGGACAAUAAAACAGGCGCAGAAGUAUGGCGGUGCGUGAAAUGGAGAAAGAAGUGCGGCGCCACAGUAACUCUUAAGGAAGGAUGUGUGCCGUCUGAAACUGCACACAUAUGCCAGCCGGACUACACAGCCAAUUUUAUUGCUAAAACUAAAUACGAAUGUAAGAAAAAGGUGAUGACAUCAGAUUUGGCCUCCGUACCUCAAACCUACAAUAAGUUUAUAGCCGAAAUUAAGGAAACAAAUAUAGAUAUGAUGCAUCAUAUGCCAUCGUUUCGUAGUGUAAAGUCUGCCAUGUAUGCUAUAAGAGGAAAACAAUUCGGUGUCAAAAAGAGAUCAAAAAAGUCAUCUGACGAAUGCAGCAUGGGUGAAACCGAGUAAUUUAACAAAACCAGUCUUUCUCAAACUUUGAUAGUCAUUAUUUAUUAAUAGAUUUAAGGUUGACAAAACCGUCUUAGGAUUUUGUGUCAUUUGUAUGUAGCUAAUCUUAAUCUAUUUAUUGUACUUAAGCGUGAUGGCACACAUAAUUAUAUUAAUUAAAUCAAAUGCCAUAUACAAUAUCGAACAGUAUUAUGUAUGAAACUUUGAAUGAUAUAGCUGUAGACAUAUGAGAUUUGUCAUAGUAGGUGUUUAUUUAUUUAUUAAUAGCUUUUAUGAAAUUCUUUCUAUAGAGUGUAAUAAACGAUACGAAGUUUAUAAUUAUAAAUACAAAUAGGGAUCUUGUCGUAGUUAUUUCUUGUAACAUACUCACUAAUUUAAAGGUAUAAAUUGUAUAUCUAUAUCUGUGAACAUGCCUAUUAGUUUUCUGCAGAAAGCGCAUUUAUUUGUAGCUUUGUUUUUGUCAUUGUUUAAAAUAUAGUGAUCGUAAAUAAAAAAAUGUACCUACUUA